rnacentral:rRNA from 1 species
CCUACGGGAGGCAGCAGUGGGGAAUUUUGCGCAAUGCUCGUAAGAGUGACGCAGCGACGCCGCGUGAAUGACGAAGGCCUUCGGGUCGUAAAGUUCUUUCGACAGGGAAGAAAAUGCCUAUAAGUAACUGUGUAUGUAUUGACGGUACCUGUAUAAGCAGCCCCGGCUAACUCCGUGCCAGCAGCCGCGGUAAUACGGAGGGGGCGAGCGUUGUUCGGAGUGACUGGGCGUAAAGAGCACGUAGGCGGUGUUGUAAGUCAUUAGUCAAAGACCAGAGCUCAACUUUAGUAAGGCUAGUGAUACUAUAAUACGAGAGUAUCAGAGAGGAUUGCAGAAUUCCUGGUGUAGCGGUGAAAUGCGUAGAUAUCAGGAGGAAUACCGUUAGCGAAGGCGGCAAUCUGGCUGGAAACUGACGCUGAGGUGCGAAAGCGUGGGGAGCAAACAGGAUUAGAUACCCCUGUAGUC